GCUUUUAUAGCUUAUUUAGAGUAUAGUAUUGAAGAUACUAGGGAGAAUUUUAAUUUUAAGA
rnacentral:tRNA from 1 species